rnacentral:rRNA from 1 species
AGAGUUUGAUCAUGGCUCAGAACGAACGCUGGCGGCGUGUCUUAAGCAUGCAAGUCGAACGAGAACCCGAAGCUUGCUUUGGGGGACAGUGGCGAACGGGUGAGUAACACGUGGGUAAUCUACCCUCGGAUGGGGGAUAGCACUAGGAAACUAGUAGUAAUACCGCAUAUUGUCACUUUUUCACAAGAUUUAGUGAUAAAAGGCGCCCUCUGUAUAUGGUGCCGUCUGAGGAUGAGCCCGCGGGCUAUUAGCUUGUUGGUGGGGUAAUGGCCCACCAAGGCAACGAUGGCUAGCCGGCCUGAGAGGGUGUACGGUCACAUUGGGACUGAGAUACGGCCCAGACUCCUACGGGAGGCAGCAGCUAAGAAUAUUCCGCAAUGGGCGAAAGCCUGACGGAGCGACGCCGCGUGGACGAUGAAGGCUUUCGGGUUGUAAAGUCCUUUUCCUGGAGAAGAAUAAAACCGGUAGUAACUGACCGGUUGAUGACGGUAUCCAGGGAAUAAGCCCCGGCUAAUUACGUGCCAGCAGCCGCGGUAAUACGUAUGGGGCAAGCGUUGUUCGGAUUUACUGGGCGUAAAGGGCUUGUAGGUGGUGGAUCAAGUCGGAUGUGAAAUCUCCGGGCUUAACCCGGAAAUUACAUUCGAAACUGAUCCGCUAGAGUACCGGAGAGGGAAACGGAAUUCCUGGUGUAGGGGUGAAAUCUGUAGAUAUCAGGAAGAACACCGGUGGCGAAGGCGGUUUCCUGGCCGGAUACUGACACUGAGGAGCGAAAGCUAGGGGAGCAAACAGGAUUAGAUACCCUGGUAGUCCUAGCCGUAAACGUUGUGCACUAGGUGUAAGUAGGUUUUAUCUACUUGUGCCGCAGCUAACGCAUUAAGUGCACCGCCUGGGGUAGUAUGCUCGCAAGGGUGAAACUCAAAUGAAUUGACGG